UACGUAGGGUCCGAGCGUUGUCCGGAAUUACUGGGCGUAAAGUGUGCGCAGGCGGCCGCGCAAGUCGAGUGUGAAAGCCCCGGGCUUAACUUGGGAAUUGCGCUCGAAACUACGUGGCUGGAGUGUGGCAGAGGAAGGUGGAAUUCCACGUGUAGCGGUGAAAUGACGUAGAGAUGUGGAGGAACACCAAUGGCGAAGGCAGCCUUCUGGGCCGAACACUGACGCUCAUGCACGAAAGCGUGGGGAGCAAACAGG
rnacentral:rRNA from 1 species